UUAAUAAUAUUAUGAGUCGGUUUUAGCGUUACAGUCAGAAAGAUAUUCUCACUCUUGCACUGGUGCUGUGUCCCCUUAGCUUUAGUUGUUGAGCAUUCUUAGGGAAAAGGUUUAAUAAAGCUGAAAUUCUGAUAAAGGGACAAAAUUACUGUUGUAUCUAACAACAUAAACCAACACCAUGUUGGUCAAAAACUUUCUUUUUUCUCUUGCAACAGAGAGACAACAAAUGGCCCAGCUGAUACUUGCUGCUGAAUUUCUUCAGGUUAAACUCAGCUACCAGAUGGUGCUGGAAUCAAGAUCAAAAUGAAAAAAGCACAUUUGCAAGGGGCACUCCAUUGCAACCCUGGCAGUGCUGAGGGUUAUGAAGAUCCCUGUGUUGGCACAAGGUGACCUCCCAAACAGGCCACGUGCUGCUGUGCAGCCUUGCAGAUCUCCACGUGAACUCCAAGGACACUCAGGAUCCUCCUGCUUGAAGAAUGAUGUUACUGCUAGACUGCAAGCAUCUCAAGACAAAGACACACCAAAUUCUACCAUAACCUUAAUGUAAUUACCCCUUCAUGAAAUUCUAAAAGAAUUAGAAGAAUUCAUCACUAAAUUUGUACAGAAAGCUAUUAUUAAUUUGAGGUCAACAAACCAAGACUGGUUC